CCCCAAGAGAAAACGAAAACGGGAUCCAUCGGGAUCCCAAUGCAAUCCCGGUGAAAUUGUCGGGAUAAGCCGGGAUAAGCAUCUAGAGGCGGGAUCCCAUUCGGAAUAAAUAUCUGAAACUGGGAUCCCAUUCGGGAUAACUGUCUGAAGCCGGGAUUCCAGUCAAGAUGAAACGGGAUAAAUAUCGGACACUGGGAUCCCAAUCGGGGUAACUGUCUGAAGCUGGGAUCCCAAUCGGAACUGUUUAAAGCCGGGAUCCCAAUCGGGAUGACUGUCUGAAGCUGGGAUCCCAGUCUAGUUAAAACGGGAAAUUGUAUGAACCAUAUAUUAUGUUGUUGAAAAUAUGUAAGUGUUUCUGUGGUCGGGUUGUUGUCUCUUUGACACAUUCCGCACUUCCAUUUUCAAUUUUAUUUUUAUAUGUCUCUGAUAACAUCAAGUACAGGUUAUUAGUGUUAAUUAACAAUGCGUAUGACACCAAAGCUGUCAGUUGAAGCCAAUCACAUUUAAGUGUCACUUAAUAUUCAGUUUGACAGAUAUUAAUAAGUCAGAAAAAUGCCGAGAUUUUCGCGAUAAAAAUGGCAGGGCGUCCGAGAAAUGUCAACGAGUGUUUUGCCAGAAAAGCUUGGGCGUUUCUGUUGUUCCUCAAGUUCCCAUAAGUGCGUUUCUAUUAGUUGUCGUCCGGCAUCAAUGAUAAGAUAAUGAUCGACAUCGUAAAACUUUGAUUUCUCAACUUAUGUAAACUGUAAAAAAUCAUAACCACGUGCUUUGUUUUCAACUGUACUGCCGCGGGACAGUUCGACCCUAGAAAAUACUGACUACUGUCCUAAAUAAUGCGGCCACUAUCUUAUCCGCAUGCACCAUGUGCCGAUUAAUAAAGUAUAAUUUUCUUAUAUUUAGUAAAAACUGGCCAGUAAUUAAUACUUUUAUGCGAUACCCUUAAUUUAUUUAUAAUACCGU
rnacentral:lncRNA from 1 species